rnacentral:tRNA from 1 species
GCCUGGGUGGCUCAGUCGGUUGAGCGCCCGGUUCCGGCUCAGGUCCUGACCUCGCGGUUCGCGUGUUCGAGCCCCGCCCUGGGCU